GUGCUCACUUCGGCAGCACAUAUACUAAAUUGGAAUGAUACGGAGAAGAUUAGCAUAGCCCCUGUGCAAGAAUCACACACAAAUUCGUGAAGCAUUCUAUAUUCUU
rnacentral:snRNA from 1 species